AGCAGCCGCGGUAAUUCCAGCUCCAAUAGCGUAUAUUAAAGUUGUUGCAGUUAAAAAGCUCGUAGUUGAAUUUCGGGAUCAAUAUAUCGGUCAUGCCUUCGGUAUGUACUGGUAUUAUUGAUUUCUACCUUCUGACGAACUAUGAUGUCAUUAAUUUGGUGUCAUAGGGAAUCAGGACUGUUACUUUGAAAAAAUUAGAGUGUUUAAAGCAGGCACACGCUUGAAUACAUUAGCAUGGAAUAAUGAAAUAGGACGUUUGAUCCUAUUUUGUUGGUUUUAGGAUCGACGUAAUGAUUAAUAGGGAUAGUUGGGGGCAUUAGUAUUCAAUUGUCAGAGUGAAAUUCUUGGAUUUAUCGAAGACUAACUACUGCGAAAGCAUUUGCCA
rnacentral:rRNA from 1 species